AUUGAACGCUGGCGGCAGGCCUAACACAUGCAAGUCGAGCGGUAGCACAGAGAGCUUGCUCUCGGGUGACGAGUGGCGGACGGGUGAGUAACGUCUGGGAAACUGCCCGAUGGAGGGGGAUAACUACUGGAAACGGUAGCUAGUACCGCAUAACGUCGCAAGACCAAAGUGGGGGACCUUCGGGCCUCACACCAUCGGAUGUGCCCAGAUGGGAUUAGCUAGUAGGUGGGGUAAUGGCUCACCUAGGCGACGAUCCCUAGCUGGUCUGAGAGGAUGACCAGCCACACUGGAACUGAGACACGGUCCAGACUCCUACGGGAGGCAGCAGUGGGGAAUAUUGCACAAUGGGCGCAAGCCUGAUGCAGCCAUGCCGCGUGUAUGAAGAAGGCCUUCGGGUUGUAAAGUACUUUCAGCGGGGAGGAAGGCGGUGAAGUUAAUAGCUUCACCGAUUGACGUUACCCGCAGAAGAAGCACCGGCUAACUCCGUGCCAGCCGCCGCAGUAA
rnacentral:rRNA from 1 species